GACUUAGGAUUUGAGCAUCUUUCUGUUAUGCUGUUGCCCCACUCCUAUUGCAAUACUCCCCUUCUUAAGAAAGUUUUUCUAGACUAAUGUCUAGAUUAAACUUCUUUUCUUUGACAAUAAUGAUGCCAUGACUUGGACAAAAUGCCCAUUGCCCCUGGGUCCUGCUUUCUUCACCCGGUGCUGCCUUAUUGGACUCUUUGUGCCUCUCCUUGGCUGGGGAAAUCAGAAUCCACAGUGGCAUCCCACUUCUAAGAUGCCUGAUCUGAAGGACAGUAAAACAACUGACCUUUUCCAGCAUGUCAAACCCAUGGUUUAACUAGUCCUCCAGGAACAACACUGAGCAAUCCUGACCUGGGACUACUUUACUCAGCCAUCUCUUACUUGAGAUUCUCCUUGUCUCUCUGUUCAAGGACACCUUUUCUGAGCCUUUCUUGAACAAGAGUGGAGGACUGAUAGGUUGGUUAAACUGUCCUUGACACAACUUUAGAGCUUCAACUGAGAAUCUAGAAGAGAGUAGAUGGAAAAAUAUUUUUCCCUCCCCUCCAAAUGCAAGAAUAAUCUUACAUGAGUCCAGGAGGAAGGCUCAUUCCACACUAAGUGUUCUGA
rnacentral:lncRNA from 1 species